GACGAACGCUGGCGGCGUGCUUAACACAUGCAAGUCGAACGAUGAUGCCCAGCUUGCUGGGUGGAUUAGUGGCGAACGGGUGAGUAACACGUGAGUAACCUGCCCCUGACUCUGGGAUAAGCGUUGGAAACGACGUCUAAUACUGGAUAUGACUGCCGGCCGCAUGGUCUGGUGGUGGAAAGAUUUUUUGGUUGGGGAUGGACUCGCGGCCUAUCAGCUUGUUGGUGAGGUAAUGGCUCACCAAGGCGACGACGGGUAGCCGGCCUGAGAGGGUGACCGGCCACACUGGGACUGAGACACGGCCCAGACUCCUACGGGAGGCAGCAGUGGGGAAUAUUGCACAAUGGGCGAAAGCCUGAUGCAGCAACGCCGCGUGAGGGAUGACGGCCUUCGGGUUGUAAACCUCUUUUAGUAGGGAAGAAGCGUAAGUGACGGUACCUGCAGAAAAAGCACCGGCUAACUACGUGCCAGCCGCCGCUGUAA
rnacentral:rRNA from 1 species